AAGCUACUCAAAUUAACCUUCAAAAUGUUCCGACUUCGGACAGUUUUACGUCAAAAACAGAAAUACACCGGCUACGAGUUUGAUCAAAGGGAUGUCAAGGCUGGAUGGACACCAUUUCUCGUCACAGCCGGAAUGUUUGCUGUGACAGGAGCAUUUUCUUAUUAUAUGACGAUUUACGUACCAAGAAGUCAUAUUGAAUCUGAAAAGAAAAGUGAAGCAGAAGAGAAUGCAGCCGUAGGUCCAGCACAGAAAGAUAAAUGGUAGAACGGACCCUAUAUCUUGUUGCUGAAGCAAACGAGUCCAGUCAACAGACAGUAUUGGGAACAAUGGAAAGAGGGAAUAACUGCACAUACAACAAACUUCUUCGUAUUCCUUAUUUCAUAAUUAAAUUGGAUUGUUGACUUGUUGCCUAGGACUUAAAUGAUAUUUUAUCAGUUGUGUUAUAAUCAUAAACUUUUCUUCCAUGUCUUUGUAGUUCAUAGAAUGGAUUGCCAAUGGAAUUAGCGAGCUAGUUUAAGGGAAUGUUGCCCUUUAUGUUUUUUAUUUUCUAUGAAUGAUAUAAAAACAUUUUUUGGUAAUGUUUAUUGUUAUUUGUAUUAAAAUUGUUUUUCAACUGUG